rnacentral:rRNA from 2 species
UAGCAACUUUCAGCAGUGGAUGUCUAGGCUCGCACAUCGAUGAAGAACGCUGCGAACUGCGAUACGUAAUGCGAAUUGCAGGAUUCAGUGAGUCAUCGAAAUUUUGAACGCAUAUUGCACUUCUGGGCUCUCUACUCAGGAGUAUGCCUGUAUCAGUGUCCGUA